rnacentral:rRNA from 1 species
GAUGAACGCUGGCGGCGUGCCUAAUACAUGCAAGUCGAGCGAACAGAUGAGGAGCUUGCUCCUCUGACGUUAGCGGCGGACGGGUGAGUAACACGUGGAUAACCUACCUAUAAGACUGGGAUAACUUCGGGAAACCGGAGCUAAUACCGGAUAAUAUAUUGAACCGCAUGGUUCAAUAGUGAAAGACGGUUUUGCUGUCACUUAUAGAUGGAUCCGCGCCGCAUUAGCUAGUUGGUAAGGUAACGGCUUACCAAGGCAACGAUGCGUAGCCGACCUGAGAGGGUGAUCGGCCACACUGGAACUGAGACACGGUCCAGACUCCUACGGGAGGCAGCAGUAGGGAAUCGGCCGCAAUAGGCGAAAGCUUGACGGAGCAACGCCGCGUGAGUGAUGAAGGUCUUCGGAUCGUAAAACUCUGUUAUUAGGGAAGAACAAAUGUGUAAGUAACUAUGCACGUCUUGACGGUACCUAAUCAGAAAGCCACGGCUAACUACGUG